AUUGAACGCUGGCGGCAUGCCUUACACAUGCAAGUCGAACGGCAGCACGGGAGCAAUCCUGGUGGCGAGUGGCGAACGGGUGAGUAAUAUAUCGGAACGUGCCCGGUCGUGGGGAUAACGUAGCGAAAGCUACGCUAAUACCGCAUACGAUCUACGGAUGAAAGCGGGGGAUCGCAAGACCUCGCGCGAUUGGAGCGGCCGAUAUCAGAUUAGGUAGUUGGUGAGGUAAAGGCUCACCAAGCCGACGAUCUGUAGCUGGUCUGAGAGGACGACCAGCCACACUGGGACUGAGACACGGACCAGACUCCUACGGGAGGCAGCAGUGAGGAAUAUUGGUCAAUGGGCGAAAGCCUGAUCCAGCAAUGCCGCGUGAGUGAUGAAGGCC
rnacentral:rRNA from 1 species